rnacentral:rRNA from 1 species
UAUGUGAUCGUCUCUCGCAUAUCAAUAAGCGGAGGAAAAGAAACUAACAAGGAUUCCCCUAGUAACGGCGAGUGAAGCGGGAAGAGCUCAAAUUUGAAAUCUUAAAGGGUUUCCCUUUACGAAUUGUAGUUUAAAGAAGUGUUUUCUGUUGAGGUUUUGGUAAAAGUUCUUUGGAAUAGGACAUCAUAGAGGGUGAGAAUCCCGUAUUUGACCUUUACUUUCAACUUUGUGAUACACUUUCAAAGAGUCGGAUUGUUUGGGAAUGCAGUCCAAAAUGGGUGGUAAAUUUCAUCUAAAGCUAAAUAUUGGCGAGAGACCGAUAGCGAACAAGUACCGUGAGGGAAAGAUGAAAAGAACUUUGAAAAGAGAGUUAAACAGUACGUGAAAUUGUCAAAAGGGAAGCGUUUGACACCAGUGUUGUUUUUCUGAAAAUCAAUUAAAGAACUGUUUAUGCUAAGCUGUUUAGACUUUAUCAGCUAUCUGUUUAGUUUUGAGCUUUUCUUUAAUGCACUUUUCAGUUAACAAGUCAACAUCAAUUUCUUUUGCUGUAAAAAAGCUUGAGGAAGGUGGCUUGAGAUUCGUCUUAAGUGUUUAUAGCCUCUUGCCUAUGCAGUCGGAGAGAUUGAGGUCUGCAGCGUAGAUCCUUCGGGGCUAAAUGCAUUUGUGCUAAGUUAUAACAUUUUAUAGACAACUUGUUGACUAUGAUUUGUCUUGUAGCUUACUCGCUUAUGUUAUUUUACCUACGCUUAGGAUGUUGAGUAGCGACAUACGCAC